AGAGUUUGAUCCUGGCUCAGGACGAACGCUGGCGGCGUGCUUAACACAUGCAAGUCGAACGAUGAAGCCCAGCUUGCUGGGUGGAUUAGUGGCGAACGGGUGAGUAACACGUGAGUAACCUGCCCUUGACUCUGGGAUAAGCGUUGGAAACGACGUCUAAUACCGGAUACGAGCUUCCACCGCAUGGUGAGUUGCUGGAAAGAAUUUUGGUCAAGGAUGGACUCGCGGCCUAUCAGCUUGUUGGUGAGGUAACGGCUCACCAAGGCGACGACGGGUAGCCGGCCUGAGAGGGUGACCGGCCACACUGGGACUGAGACACGGCCCAGACUCCUACGGGAGGCAGCAGUGGGGAAUAUUGCACAAUGGGCGAAAGCCUGAUGCAGCAACGCCGCGUGAGGGACGACGGCCUUCGGGUUGUAAACCUCUUUUAGCAGGGAAGAAGCGAAAGUGACGGUACCUGCAGAAAA
rnacentral:rRNA from 1 species